rnacentral:lncRNA from 1 species
AGGUUGAAACAUACUGACAUAGGUGGUUUGCAGAGGGCAUGGCCUCUAUACCACCCUCCCAGCUGCGCUUCACGGAACCGCCCUUCGGCUAGAGAGUGCCCCUCCUUUUUCUGUCUCUGGAAAAAAAUGCAAUUGGUCUAAGAAUCCGAAGUUUUGCAUCUGAGCAUGCUUAAUAUUUUCCCUUGCUGUUUUAAACUGUUCCAUAAGGAAAACCCCAAAACAAAAAGCUCUGUCCAAAAUAUUGAACAUAUUUAUCAUUCAUAUAUACGUAUAUAUGGACAUACUAUAUAGGCCCAGACAUAACACUACAUAUGUGGAACACAACUUACAGUAUAUGCAUACAUAUUUGUAUAUAACAUCUUUGUGUGUGUGUGUGUGUGUGUGUGUGUGUGUGUGUUCAAAUGCCUGGAUUCAGAGGGGGUGGUUUAUCCUCUUCUAGAAUAAUUUUCUCCUGAGCCUAAUGGAAUGUUUUUGUUUCCUGUUUUAUUUUUUGCCUUCCUGAUCAUUUUUUGAGCCAGCAGAGAGUAUAGAAAGCUGAUUGUCACCAGCCAUUUUUGAGAUGUGACUUUGAGUAAAAUGAUAAUUACUUACUAGUGUGGCUAAUGGAGAGCUUAUUUUUAAAAUAAUUAAUGUAGUUCCAGGAAAACUCCAUUGUUUUUGUUGUUGUUUUAGACUUUAUAUUUCUCUUAGGUUCAGUAUCUGACAAAGUAACCAUUUUGUGGUUGCAAAAUUACUCUAAACAUAGGAAGGUUUUGGUUGGUGCCAUAUAUGGUAAAUGAUAGUUUACUUUUCUUAUAGGUCUUUAAAACAGACAUUAUUCAUUGAAGUAAUGGUAACAUUAGGCUUUUAGUUGCACUUCAAAAUAAGAUUGAUGUAUGUGAUGAACAUUUUAUAUGAUAGCCUAGUCAAAACACAGGAGGAAAAAAUGAAAGAUUACAGGUAUAUUGUUUUGGUAACAUUUAGAAAGGAAAUAUGGACAGGCAAUCACAGUCUGUGAUGAAAUCUAGAGAGGGAGGCUAGCUGGUUAGCUGCCUGUGCAAAUGUGAGACAGGGCAAUGGGUUUCCUGUUAGAGAAGGUUCUGUGGACCCGACUGUAUGUUGAGUGACUGUCACAAUCCAUCCUGAGGAAUUCUUAGUUGCACAUUCUUUUAAUUAUCAGGAACAUGACCUAAGGAUGUCUUCUUUAAAUCACUGAGAACUGUAGAUUUAAAGAAUAAACACAGAAGUUAAAGAUUUUGCUUCUGUUUUGACUACAAAGAAGAUGGAUCAUCUUGGUACAAAUCAAGGCCAAGGGACUGGGGUUUCCAAAGUUAGAAGCAUAUAGACUACAAUUCCAUCACAACACUGCAUGUGUUCCUCCUUCCGAAGAAACCAGGUCUACUUGGGAACCUUAAUUGUGUCCCAGGGUUCUUCAUUGUUCUUCCUGUGGGCAACUCUGGUCAAGCAAAGGUAACAGCAGCUACAGUACAGGUUUAUGUAUUCUCUCAGAUGGCAAACACAUUAACUUUUGCACUCUCUGUUGGGGUUUAAUUUACCAUAACUUCUUUCGUUCUGGAAGACCAUGGGUAAUUCAAGUUUAGCUUAUGAUGUGGACGUUUCUAAUGAAUGGCUAGUGAGUAGGAUAGUAUGACUUCUAUUUUGUCCUAGAGAGUAGUCUGUAGGGUUACAGUUUUGGCAUUGUAUAUCGUAUAACAUUGGCAUUGUUAUACCUCAGCUUUAGCUGUAGCCACUGGCACCACCUGUACACCAUUGUAGGGAAUGUAGUAGAGAGGAGAACUCAAUAAUUCUCUUCUAUUUAGUCAGUAACCACUCCAGAGGAGUUUGUUAUGAGUUCUGAUAGGCUGCCAGCCAUGUUUCUAGGCUGGUGAGUUCGUUUAAACUGGUUUCCUAUAUUUCUUUUCUGUGUCCCUUUUAAUGGUUUCCCACAAACUUUUCAAAAUUUUUUCUUCAUAAUUCCAAGCCUUUUAGAGUCAUUUUUGUCUAUGAAAAUGAGCAUUCCCAGAGCGUUGUGGCCUCACAGAAGGUGGAGAAUGGGGGAGAGAAUGCACGUUGCCCACUGCAGGCAUUUUCCAAAGUGAGGGUUCCUUCUACCUACCAGGGCACGGUUACAGUUCAGGGCCAUGAUACCUCAUGGAAUACCACUGGGAAAAACAGAAGAAAAAAAAAAACAGUUUUCUAAUUUGUCUGAAUGUUUAUCCAGGUCCUAAAUAAAGUAAUUGUGGUGUGAUGCUCUCAAACCCACAUGGAACCCCAUGCAGCACUUGUCUUAAACUUGUCUUAAACUACCUUAAACCAUUGAGCCAAAGCUGAAAGGUUGCCCUGCUGAUCUGCUUUCCCAUCACUAAUUUGGUCCAUUCCUAUCUCAGAAGAUGUUUUUGAGACUGGGUGGACUCUUGUCUGAGGUCCACGAAUUGGAUUUCAGCCAUAAACUGAGUAGCUAAGACUUGUGGCUUUAACUUCUAGACACAUAAGUAGUUUACAUUUGCACACUACUAACAACUCUUACUCAGCACUCUAAACCUGUGUGCCUGCCUUCCCUUUGACCUGUUCUUAUCUCAGAACCGAGACCAGAGGCAUAGUCAGAUUGCUUUUAGGCUGUGUAAACCAAGAUUAAGAUAGAUGCACAGGAUGUGCUGGGAUUUGUGCAUAUAUUCUCUUGAGCCCCCCUUCCUAGCCUUCCUUUAAAUGUGACCUUCCCCUGCUUAGUCUCAUUUUAAGAGCAACUUAUGUUUAUAGAAACCACUCCUUGUUGACAUUCAGUAUGGCAAUACCCAUGGAACAGUGUGUGCUCUCUGUUCUGUGUAUUUGCAUAUGUCACUGCUCCUUCAUCAAUCACUACAUUAACAAAUAGCCACUAAUUGUUAAAAGCAGUUGAUACAAAUGCAUUGUGCUCCCAUGGGACAGAACUUACUUUUAAGAAUGUAUGUCCUUAAUUAACAUUUACUUCCUAGAUAUAGUUAAAAUAUGACCAUGUGGGAGAUUAUUAUCAUGUUAGGUUAAUACUUGUGUCUCUUGUAGAGCUAAUUCUUCAGAUUGUAUAUACACAAACACUUUUUUUUCCUGAUACAAAGAUUUACCUUUUUAAAAUAUCACGACCUAAUGUAACUCAAGGGAAAGAGACCCAUGGGCAAGCCCCGCCUCUUAGUCCCUGAACAUUGUUUGGGUGACAUGACUGAUCUCUGUGGGACAGCAUUAGAGACCACACAGAUCUGGUUUCCCUCCCAUUAGCUGAUUUAUGGAAUUGCAUUAGGGAAGCUCUGCCUCUGGGAGGUUUCCCUGCCCCUAUGCCUGCUCUCUUCCCUGCCACAGCUUUAUAGAGAAGAGAUGAGAAAACUGGAGCGGAAAAAAAAAGUUAAAAGGGUGCAUAUGUUUUUCUUUCUCUUUUCUCUCACUUAAAAAAUAGGAAAUGUGUUGAUGUACCAGCUCCCAGUAAUGUUUCUAGAAGCUUGAGAUUCUAAAGGAUUUGAUUUAAAAAAAAAUUCUGAUAUUAUCAAGUGAAACUAGAUAACUUGAUUCAGAAAAGUGUUUUAGAAGUGGAGAGAGAUACUACAUACAAAUUUAAAGUUCUAAGGGCCCCCAACCAAUAGCAAUUGUGAAAUUCUAAAUAAAGUAUUGUGUCUGUAAUUUGUGCAGAAUGAUGGCUGCCUGCUAAGAAAAUGAAUUUGUAGCCCACAUCUAAAGUAGAUGUGUCACUAUCUAGUUCAAAGCUAUAGAAAAUUAGUAAAUGAC